rnacentral:ncRNA from 1 species
AGAUUGCUCCGAAGUCCGUCCGCCUAAAGCGCGCAGCGCCAUGGCGGCGGACCGGGGUGCGGCGGGAAACGGCCGCGCCUCCCAUGCUUGGAAAGGAGAGCCAUACGG